GAGAUAAAUCCCAUAGGGCAAGUGCCAGCUGAUUGUUUCAUGAUGAUUUUAAGCUAUUUGAGAGCCAUGCAGUCCUUACCUAUCUUGCCUGUGCGUUUCCUGGAGUUACAGAUCAUUGGUAUCCUGCUGAUCUUCGCAAGAGAGCCAAGGUUCAAUCUGUGUUAGACUGGCACCAUUCUACCAAC